AGGCCUUCUCUUUCCAGUUCUUUCCAGAAUUGGGAAAAGCUGGGUUGAGAGGGUAAGAAAAGAAA
rnacentral:pre_miRNA from 10 species